rnacentral:rRNA from 1 species
UCGUCCUGGGUUKAUUCCGAUAAACGAACGAGACUCUCCCCUGCCAACUAGUCGGGUUGGAUCUUGAACUGGUGAGUGGUCAGCCCCGGCGGUGUUGCCCCUUCGUGUUCCUCUUCGUGUUGCGUCGGCGUGUCUGCGCGUGCUUAACGGUGCGUGUGGCCGCUGGUGUGCUGUCGAGUGCGCCGCGUUGGGACGUAUGCCACGGGUAGCACACUCCAAGUCCGCCGUCUUAAAAUUUCUUCUUAGAGGGAUCCACGGCUCUGAAGCCGUCAGAGACUGAGAGCAAUAACAGGUCUGUGAUGCCCUUAGAUGCUCUGGGCCGCACGCGCGCUACAAUGCUGGGCACAGCAGGUGUCUUUCCUGUUCCGAGAGGAAUGGGUAACCCUCUGAAAGCCCUUCUGCUUAAUCUGGCUCGCGUCGCACCGAGUGUUCGCAUUCGUGUGUGGCCGAGCCUAGCGUGCUUGGGCCUGGGGCUUGCAAUUUUUCCCCACAAACGAGGAAUGCCUAGUAGCGGUGGGUCACUGAGCCCACCGUGACUCAGUCCCUGCCCUUUGUACACACCGCCCGUCGCUACUACCGAUUGGGUGUACCAGUGAGGGUCUUGGACAGGGCGGCCGCUGCGUCUCUUCGGGGAUGCAUGUGGGCGUGACUGGGAAGAGGUCCGAACUAGGUGCACUUUAGAGGGAAGUAAAAAGUCGGUAAACAAGGGUUUCC